rnacentral:rRNA from 1 species
UGGUGGAGUGAUUUGUCUGCUUAAUUGCGUUAACGAACGAGACCUUAACCUGCUAAAUAGCCACGCGAAUGGCCGAUGCGUGAAGCGUGAGACCUCGGUUGAGCGUGGAUCGUGGCAUGAUUCGUGGCAGGCUUCUUAGAGGGACUAUUCUGCGUCUAGCGAAUGGAAGUUUGAGGCAAUAACA